rnacentral:tRNA from 1 species
GGGCGGUUAGCUCAGCGGUAGAGCACUGUGUUGACAUCGCAGGGGUCACUGGUUCGAUCCCAGUACCGCCCACCA